UACGGGGGGAGCAAGCGUUGUUCGGAUUUACUGGGCGUAAAGGGCGCGUAGGCGGUCAGCACAAGUCAGUUGUGAAAUCUCCGGGCUUAACUCGGAAAGGUCAACUGAUACUGUGCGACUAGAGUGCGGAAGGGGCAACUGGAAUUCUUGGUGUAGCGGUGAAGCGCGUAGAUAUCAAGAGGAACACCUGCGGCGAAGGCGGGUUGCUGGGCCGACACUGACGCUGAGGCGCGAAAGCCAGGGGAGCGAACGGG
rnacentral:rRNA from 1 species